rnacentral:ncRNA from 1 species
UGAUAGAGGCGCGGAUGUCAAGAGUAGUCCUUCCCAUACGGACAGGCCCGGGGAAGGGUGAAAGGGGCUUUCGCCGAGGCCGCGUGUUUCCGCCUGAGGAACACGGAGCCGGGCCGCGGGAGAAUAUCCCACGGACUGUCGUCCCCGCCAUGGGACGGAGCGCUGUCGU